GCUGAAUAUAACGGUUCUCGUUAGAUCACCGAAGUCAAGCAUCAUUGGGCGCGGUCAGUACUUGGGUGGGUGACCACCUGGGAACACCGCGUGCCGUU
rnacentral:rRNA from 1 species